UUGCGGACAAGGGAAGCCCCAG
rnacentral:miRNA from 1 species